AACCUCCGCAAUGUACGAAAGUGCGACGGGGGGAUCCCAAGUGUUAUGCUUAAAGGUAUGACUUUUCAUUAGUGUAAAAAGCUUUUAGAAUAAGAGCUGGGCAAGACCGGUGCCAGCCGCCGCGGUAACACCGGCAGCUCGAGUGGUAGCUGUUUUUAUUGGGCCUAAAGCGUUCGUAGCCGGUUUAAUAAGUCUUUGGUGAAGGCUUGUAGCUUAACUAUAAGAAUUGCUGGAGAUACUAUUGGACUUGAAGUCGGGAGAGGUUAGAGGUACUACCGGGGUAGGGGUGAAAUCCUAUAAUCCUGGGAGGACCACCUGUGGCGAAGGCGUCUAACUGGAACGAUCUUGACGGUGAGUAACGAAAGCCAGGGGCGCGAACCGGAUUAGAUACCCGGGUAGUCCUGGCCGUAAACGAUGUGGACUUGGUGUUGGAAUGGCUUUGAGUUGUUCCGGUGCCGAAGGGAAGCUGUUAAGUCCACCGCCUGGGAAGUACGGUCGCAAGAUUGAAACUUAAAGGAAUU
rnacentral:rRNA from 1 species